rnacentral:lncRNA from 1 species
UUUGAGUGUCUGCUCUCAAGGUAGGUACCAGGGAUGCUAAAGUUGAUGCUUUUGUAGAUACUGGGUCAGCCUCCAUCCCAUCCUCCUUGGACCAGCCCAGGCUGAGGUGGGCCUUGUGCCAGAGGAGGACAGGCAGUGGAUGGCAGGGCCAUCUGCCCAGUUUGCACAUUCCACCCCCCCCCAUCCCUCCCAACCCCAGCACACACAAAGGAAAGUAGCCACAGCCGGGAAGCUCCCAGCUGUGUGGAUACCGUCUCGGUGGGCCCUGCUGGAGACAACGCCAUCUGAUCAAAAGGAGCCCCCCAGCAUCUCUGUGCCGUCAGAGAAGCAGCUGCAGGUAGCUGAAUCGGAGCCCAAAUCCUUGCAAAAACGCCGGUGGGACCCCUGCCAACAACCAAGCAAUGGCUUUUCAAGCUGGAAGGGAGCAAGUCCGACUCAAUCUUGGUUGCUGGUCUGA